CAGGGAGACAACAAAAUGUUUAAUAUUAUUAUUUUGUCACCUUAGGUCGAUCGGUAUCUCACGUUCUUAAUUCGUUAAGAAUUUCAUUUCCUAAGUUUUUCUAGGUCACACCCAUUAUUUUUCCUGGGCCAUUAGCUCAGGUGGUUAGAGCGCACCCCUGAUAAGGGUGAGGUCCCUGGUUCAAGUCCAGGAUGGCCCAUAUCUCUAUGUUGGGGGUAUAGCUCAGUUGGUAGAGCGCCUGCUUUGCAAGCAGGAUGUCAGCGGUUCGAGUCCGCUUACCUCCACUGAUUACCACCUCUUCCAUAACCGAUAGAAAGGAAAUGUUUUGAGUUGUGAUCAUUAUUCUGAACGAAUCUAGCUUCCUAAUGAAAUCAUUAAGAUGCUGGACUCAUUGAAUUAAUUUCAUUGUUUUCAGAGAACCUUGACAACUGCAUAGAUUAUUUUUAAAGACAAUAAGCAUCUUUAAUGAUGCAGAUUUAUUAUUUGUGCGAAUGCAUUAAUAACAAUUCUAUUAAGCUGAUGCUUCAAUUUUUGAAGUUAUU
rnacentral:tRNA from 1 species